rnacentral:rRNA from 1 species
ACAAGGAUUCCCCUAGUAACGGCGAGUGAACAGGGAAAAGCCCAGCACCGAAGCCUGUGGCCAUUUGGUCAUAAGGCAAUGUGGUGUUCAGGUUGUUCCGUAAAGGUACUGCUCCACCCUAAGUCCAUCAAUGAGUACGGUAGUAUGGACCUGGCCCAUAGAGGGUGAAAGGCCCGUGGGGGUGGAGACCAGGUAGGCCAGUACCUUUCUGGAUAGACCUUGGAGUCGGGUUGUUUGUGAAUGCAGCCCAAAGUGGGUGGUAAACUCCAUCCAAGGCUAAAUACUAGCACGAGUCCGAUAGCGAACAAGUACCGUGAGGGAAAGUUGAAAAGUACUUUGAAGAGAGAGUAAACAGUGCGUGAAACCGGUCAGAGGUAAGCGGGUGGAGUUGAACUGCAAGCUCUGAGAAUUCAGCUGGUGAGUGUGGUUUGAGCUUGGUCAAGUCGGUUGGGCCUCGGAGUCUGUGUAGUAGCAGGCCUUUGCCUUUCGGGGUAGAGGUGCGCGAUGCACUUACCAAGUGUUGUGCGCUCCGGGUGUUCUUCGGGCCGACUCGCCAGUGCACUUUUUCAGAGUAGUCACCACGACCGGCACUGCUGUCUGGCUGGUGCGGUUAAACCGGUCUUGCAUUGUCCUUGUGGCUUUGCUUGGUCGGGAUGGCAGGUAGCUUGUUGACUGGCUUGUGGUUCGCUGCAGGCAAUCGGUCUUCGAGUGUAAUCAGCUGACCACAUCGGUUCUGUGCAGUGUGUCGGAGACGGCGGCUUUUGUGUGUGCGUGCGUGCCAGGUUGGCCGGCGUGUUCGAGUUCUGGUUGUUACGUAGCCUGUGAAUGCAGGCCUGAUGAUGGCUCGGAUUCGUUCGGUUGGCGGUUGCGUGCGAGACACGUUAACAUGGGCCAAUAGUCUGUGGUGUAGUGGUAGACUAUCCACCCGACCCGUCUUGAAACACGGACCAAGGAGAGUAACAUGUGCGCGAGUCAUUGGGCGAUACGAAACCCAUAGGCGCAGUGAAAGUGAAGGUUUGGCUUGUCCAGAUUGAGGUGAGAUCCUGUCGUUUCCCAUGCGCGGUACUACCAAGCUUCGAGCGGCAGGCGCAUCACCGGCCCGUCCCAUGACAAUUGUUUUCGGGCAUUACCCAGUCGGGGCGGAGCAUGAGCGUACAUGUUGAGACCCGAAAGAUGGUGAACUAUGCUUGCGCAGGUUGAAGCCAGAGGAAACUCUGGUGGAGGGCCGUAGCGGUUCUGACGUGCAAAUCGAUCGCCAGACGUGAGUAUAGGGGCGAAAGACUAAUCGAACCAUCUAGUAGCUGGUUCCCUCCGAAGUUUCCCUCAGGAUAGCA